AGAAAAUAUAUUAAAUACCAACAUUAACUAAAAAAAGUACGAUUAAGUUAAAAAAUUAUUAAUAUAAUUUUCUCGGAGUGAUCAAAUGAAACGAGGAAAUAGUAAGAAAAAGGUAAGAUCUGAAUCUGUAAUGGAGGACAAUGCCUCCUCGGAUGAAGAAGAAGAAGAUCGGUUUACCAUUAUUAACGAACGUCCAGUGGAUGAUAUUUCUGUGAAUUUCUUCUAUAAGCCUCAUACCAUAUCGCUACUCCUUCUUUCUGUUGUAGGGAUAUCCGUUAUUGCCUUUUCACGAGAUGAAAACAUGGACAGCCGCUCCAACAUUUGGGUGGGCCUCCUUAAUACCUUUGUCUUUUUCAUGAUGAUCUCAGUCCUCUCUUUUCCCCAUGGUCCUUUUACUCGACCUCAUCCUAUUCUUUGGAGAAUGGUGUUUGGAGUCUCUGUUAUCUACUUACUUAUCAUUCAAUUCCUCAUUCAGCAGGACUAUAACACCGUGAGAGGAGUCAUUAUUUGGUUUGAUCCUAAAAUGGCUAAUUAUUCUAUAGAUAAGGAGAAAGAAUAUGGAGCCCAAUGCUGGGAUAUAUCCAUGGAAAAGCUAUGGGCACAUUUAGAUUGGUUUGCCUUUGGGCACUACUGGGGGUGGGGCAUGAAAGCACUUAUUAUUCGUCACUACGGAAUUUGUUGGAGUAUUUCCAUCAUGUGGGAGCUUACCGAGAUGGCUUUUGGACAUUUACUUCCAAAUUUUUAUGAAUGCUGGUGGGAUAAUAUUAUCCUGGAUGUGCUAAUCUGUAAUGGACUUGGAAUAUUUACUGGUAUGACUGUUUGUAGAUGGCUAGAAAUGCGAGAAUAUCAUUGGGAGUCCUUUAAAGAGAUACGAACUACAAAAGGCAAAGUUAAAAGAGUGUUGCUUCAGUUUACUCCUGAGAGCUGGUCUUCGAUCCGUUGGAUGGAUCCAUCAUGUUCUAAAAUGAGGGUUGUAUUUGUUACACAGUUUAUGCUGAUUUGGCAAACUGUGGAGUUAAAUACUUUUUUUCUUAAACAUAUUUUUCCUAUGCCCGUGGAGCAUCCUAUUUGUGUUAUAAGGAUUCUUAUGUUUGGGCUUAUUGCUGCCCCCGCAACAAGGCAAUAUUAUAUGUACAUGACAGAUACUCAAGUCAAAAGACUGGGAACCCAAACAUGGGUCUUUCUUUGUAUAUGUCUCUCUGAGUUAAUACUUAAUAUCAAGUUUGGACUUGACCUGUUUUCUCAAACGCAAAUUUCGAAAAUUGGAUUAUGGCUUCUAAUGGUUGUAUUAACUUCAGCUUUGGGCACAUUAUUUUCCAUGAAAAUAUCCAAAUGGAGACAUCAAUCAAAACAAACACGAAUCCACAAUGGUGCCAAAGAUCAGUUGGUUGAACGUACCAAGUCUGAUUAGUAUUUUUAUACAUACAUGGAUUUCAUAUUUCAUUUACUAGUCUUUUAUAUUCUUUUUCCUCCUCAGUCGAUGCCUUAACCUGAAAAGUCGGAAAAUGAUAUUUCGAUAAUAAUAAUUAUCAAAUCAUAGUUUCCUUCAUAUUUAUUGCUGGAGCGCUAAAAGAAAGAAAGAUAGUUGUUAGGGCGUGGUAAAGGAUUGGUCAAAUGUUUCACGGAGCAACUUCUUUUGGGUGUGAACAAAUCUAGCCUUCAAAUACUUUUAACCUUGAGCAACUACUAAUUUUUCUUCCCGGUUACCACUACUAACAACCGGUUAUUGAUGAUGACUUGUAGCUAUAUAGUACAUAUAAUAUGUACUUAUGCUGGAAUCAUUAUCGAUUCAUAUAAAUAAUAAUAUGCAUUCUACAAGUAUUGACAUUUAAAAGUGCAUUCGGCAAAUAUCCAUGUAUGUUGUAAAAAUACAUAAUGAUUUGCCAAAAAGUGAAACAAACAAGACUACUGAAUUAUCUACUACCUACUACUUAAUUACAAAUUGAAGUGAUGUUAUGAUUAUUUUAUGAAUUAGUGUAAUAUUACAACAAGAUAGGAACCAGUGGGCUCUCCAUUAUUAAAAAUACGGGACACACAGGGACUUUUCAGGACCAAAAAAUAAUUUGGAGAAGUCCUUAUUGAGCGUUUUCAUAUGACGUCAGCAUUCUUGAUGUCCAUUUUGGGGACCUGAACAACCAAGUUUUAUAAGAAUAAAAAUCGGUUUUUUUAAAUAAAUAUUAAGAAAAUUUUUCAAGAAGAAGGACUUGACUCAACCAAUACAAUAAAAAAUAGAUUUUUAUAUGAUCAGUAACAUUUAAUCAAUUUCGUCUCCAUUGGAGACCUCUUCAGUAAUAAUUAUAUAACAAUUUUCUCAAGUUUUGUAUCUACCACGCCCAAACACAUGACAGGAUGUUUUCUUCUGGAAAGUCCCCUUAACCUCUUCGGAUGAUCUUCAAUCAAUCUGUAAUUUCAGGGGUUGAGAGCUGCUAGAUAUUGGUAGAAUCAAAUAAAACUACA
rnacentral:misc_RNA from 1 species